rnacentral:rRNA from 1 species
AAACCAACCGGGAUUGCCUCAGUAACGGCGAGUGAAGCGGCAAAAGCUCAAAUUUGGAAUCUGGCGCCCUCGGCGUCCGAGUUGUAAUUUGAAGACUCUAUCUUGGGAUGCGGCGCUGUCGAAGUUCCUUGGAACAGGACGUCACAGAGGGUGAGAAUCCCGUGCGAUGGCAGCCGCGGACCGUGUAAGUUAGUGUCGACGAGUCGAGUUGUUUGGGAAUGCAGCUCUAAGUGGGUGGUAAACUCCAUCUAAAGCUAAAUAUUGGCGAGAGACCGAUAGCGAACAAGUACAGUGAUGGAAAGAUGAAAAGAACUUUGAAAAGAGAGUGAAAAAGUACGUGAAAUUGUUGAAAGGGAAGGGCUUGAGAUCAGACAUGCCUUCGGGCAGGCCAGCAUCAGCUGGAAGGGGCAGACAAGGGCGCCGCAAUGUGGCCUGGCUUCGGCGAGGUGUUAUAGGCGGCGUCGAUGUGUCCACUUCCGGCUGAGGACCGCGCUUCGGCAAGGAUGCUGGCGUAAUGAUCCCCAGCCGC